rnacentral:lncRNA from 1 species
AAGCUGUUCAGACAGACAGCGUGACUCCAACACACCAGAAAAGACAAAGGAGUCACACAGAGCCAGAAAAUCCUCCCAGAGCCUCUGCUUCUGACCUCUGGGGCCAACCCAGCCCCACGGGGCUCUGGGUUCUCAGCUGCAGACAGCGGGGCUGUGGUCACACGUGCCCUGCUUGCUAGGGUGCUGACCCUGGGCAGCGAGGCCUCCCUGGUCUCCACCAAUGGUGCAAAUCCCAUAGCAGGGACCAACAGAGCUGGAAUCACCACAUCCAGGGGCCUGGGGGAACUGCAGGAGGCCCCGCCCUCCAUAUCAAGAAGCAAAGGAAGCAGGGGACAGAGAGGAAUUCGUACACCAGCAUAUGAACCUCACCAGAACUCCAGGAGGGACGUUGGCACUAGGACGUUGGCAUCACCCCUGCACCUGGACCCAUCUAGAUGAAGUAAACUUACUGAGGCUCCAGAAGAAGGUCUUCAGGACUCAGACGUCAGUUAUAGAUUAGAAGAAGUUAAUCACUUAUGUCUGUAGACGAAUGUACACUUACAUGUAGACAUAGAGCUUAGAAGGUACAUAAGCUCUGGAAGACUUUGUAAUUUUGAGUUAGUCUGGCGAUAAUUUCCAGGCCUUCUCCCUGUAACCGGUUGCAGAAAUAAACACCCUCUUCCUCCUCAG